CAAUCUUCAUCUUCUUCCUUUACCUCCCUCUCACCAUCUCCACCGCCCCUCUCGUCGGCAUCACCGCCUUCUUCCUCUCUUGGUUAGCUAAUUUCAAGCUCCUCCUCUUUUGUUUCGACCAACCACCGCUCUCACCACCGCCGUCCAACCUUUUUCAUUUCAUUUCCUUAGCUUCUCUUCCUAUUAAACCAAAACAAAAAACCCCAUCUCAAAACAAAUCUAAACCACCCCAAAGAUCAAUCUUGUUUGCUAUUAAAGUUUUAAUAUUAGCUUUGCUUUAUCAUUGUUAUAGCUACAAACAAAAUAUCCAUAAAAAUGUAGUUCUAGUAAUGUUCUGUGUCCGCAUCUACAUUGAGCUUGAGCUCAUCCUAGCCGUGGCCGGAACCCUUGCUCGAGCCAUGUUUGGGUUCGAGAUCGAGCCACAGUUCAAUGAACCCUACUUGGCUACCUCUUUACAAGAUUUUUGGGGUCGUAGAUGGAACCUUAUUGUUACUAGUAUUCUACGACCAACCGUAUAUUACCCCAUACGCCGUAUUUCUACUCGUUUGCUUGGAUCAAGGUGGGCUUCGUUGCCCGCGAUCUUCGGCGUGUUCGUCGUCUCCGGCUUGAUGCAUGAAUUGAUUUUUUAUUAUUUGACUCGUGUGGCUCCAACUUGGGAGGUGACAUGGUUUUUCAUCUUACAUGGGGUUGCGGUGGUGGCGGAAGUGGUGGUGAAAAAGGUGGUGCCCGAUAAAAUGAGGUUGCACUCGGUGGUUUCCGGGGCGUUGGCUUUGGGAUUUGUGGCGGUGACUGCCGUUUGGUUGUUUCUCCCGCAGUUAGUGAGGAAUGGUGUAGAUGAGAAGAGCAUUGGAGAGUACUCCAAGUUGAUGAUCUUAUAAAGGGUUUGCUUCCAUUUUGAAUAUCAUUGUAAUUUUAGAAAAAAAUCAUAAAUAAAAAUCAAGCCAUUUAAAUUCCUUCAUUUGGAAUCAUGGUGACGAUUAUAUUGAAGGCAGGACGAGCAUCCUUGAAGUUACAAAGACAAUUCAAGUCGGCAUGUUUUAUCAAAACACAGCAUUGUUUGGUCGGUGGUGGAGGGUAUCUCCCAGUGACCACCUGCCCGCAAAGGUUCAACCUACUCAAUGGAAUGUUACAUAUGGUUGCCCCUUUAGCUCCUUCCACCAUUGCAAUGACCACAAAGAUUGCUACCAAGCAAUACACCAUAAGUUUCUCACUAACUUUACCCAUUUUUCUUGCCUCAAUAAAAACCUAUAUCAAACACAAUGCUAAGUAACACACCUGCACUUAAUUUAUAGCAAGGGUUUUGCGGUACUCAAUAAUCAGUAAAUUCUUUUUGGCCACCCAACUAUGAAAAAUUAUAAAAUGGUCAUCUAAUUAUUAGUAAAUUUCUUUUUUAGUCACUUAAUUAUCUUGGAUUUUGGGCAUUUCUAUUUUUAUGAUAGCUAGCUGGGAACCCAAAAUGACAAAAUUAAAUAGUUUAGUAAUUAUUUUGUAACUUUUUAUAAAUCAAAAUAUAAAACAAAUCAAAAAAAUUAAAUAAAAAAUAAAAUGGAAUAGAAAUAAAUAAAACAAAAUAAAAAAUGAAUAAACCGAUAAAAUGAAAAAUCUAGCCUUAGGCACAAAUAUGACUUCGACUUUGAACUGAUCCCAGCUAAUGGAUUCUCUCCUCCAAUCAAUAAAUUAGUUAUAGAGAUCGAGAAACAAUCUCAAAUCUCCAAAUUCUUCCGUAAUAAUAAAUUAAUUAAGAGACUAGCACGACGACUAACCCUUACCAAGUACAUAACCUUGAAAGCAACUCGUACCCUAACAUUUCAAACUUCCAUUGUACUAGUAUAGAAAAUGGUAAAAAAAAGUAUCGAAAUAGUAGCAUCCAUGUCCAAAAUUAAUUACAAUAAAUCACUAAAAACAUGUCGAUUAAACACAUUAUCAACGUGCAAACAAAACGCAUCAUGACCAAGCAUCCAAAUUCCCUCCAGGGAACCUACUUCAAAGAUUAUGAAUUAUACAAUCGUUUCCCUUACCCAAAUAUAGUUAAUAUCCCCUUAUUACCUAUAAACACUUUGUUAAAACCCUUCAAGAAGACUUUUUAUCGAUCUCCGAAAUUCUCAGAAUCAUCACCCAAUGACUCUCCAUAAUAAUGUAUAUGAAUCAUCAUCUACCAAAAUGAUAUGCACGUAAUCAACUUCAAAAUUACAACUAUUAAGAGUUUUAGUACCAAUCUAGUUUAGUUGUUCAAAGUAACCAACAACAAGGUAACUAUUAUGAAAAGGUCAAAGUGGAGUAAAUAUUUGAAUAUUUAAAUAUACUCUAUCUUUGUAAUCUUCGUACAUUUAAAAUUUAAUUUUUAUAUUUUUACUUUUAGAAAUUUAAUCCCUUAAUUUUCGAAUUUAAAAAUUCAAACCUAGUUAUUAACACUAUUAAAUUCAUUGAUGUGAUAUUUUAAAAUAAAAAAAUAUCCACUUAAUAAUGAUGUAUCUUAAAUUAAUUAUGAUAUGAUUGGAGGCAAUACACCUAUUUACAACCUUCAAUUAAAUACACAUUAAAUUUUGAACGUGUCUAUGCACGUAUCUAAGAAAACGCAACCACAUUCCUUAUCAAUAUUAAACAUUAAACUUCAUUUUCGUCAAAGAUCCAAAGAUCAACCUAUGGAGAUUGAACAUUACAGCUUCAUCAAGGUAUGGAUUUUAGCUAUAAUUUCCCUUUGUUAUUGUUACUACAUAUCAUCAAAGCUCCCCAAAGGCAUUUUCAAGCUUUUUCUUUAACCCCAAUCUUCAUCUUCUUCCUUUACCUCCCUCUCACCGUCUCCACCUUUCAUCUUGUUGGCAUCAGCGCCUUCUUCCUCUCUUGGUUAGCUAAUUUCAAGCUCCUCCUCUUUUGUUUCGACCAACCACCGCUUUCACCACCACCGUCCAACCUUUUUCACUUCAUUUCCUUAGCGUCUCUUCCCAUUAAACCUAAACAAAAAACCCCAUCUCAAAACAAAUCUAAACCACCCCAAAGAUCAAUCUUGUUUGCUAUAAAAGUUCUACUAUUAGCUUUGCUUUACCAUUGUUAUAGCUACAAACAAAAUCUCCAUAAAAAUGUAGUUCUAGCAAUGUACUGUGUCCAUACCUACAUUGAGCUUGAGCUCACCCUAGCCUUGGCCGCAAUCCCGGCUCGAGCUAUGUUUGGGUUCGAGAUCGAGCCACAGUUCAAUGAACCCUACUUAACUACCUCUUUACAAGAUUUUUGGGGUCGUAGCCAACCGUAUAUUACCCCAUACGCCUUAUUUCUACUCGUUUGCUCGGAUCAAGGUGGGCUUCUUUGCCGGCGAUCAUCUCCGUGUUCGUCGUCUCCGGCUUGAUGCAUGAAUUGAUUUAUUAUUACUUGACUCGUGUGGCUCCUACUUGGGAGGUGACAUGGUUUUUCAUCUUACAUGGGGUUGCGGUGGCGGCGGAAGUGGUGGUGAAGAAGGUGGUGCCUGAGAAAGUGAGGUUGAACCCUGUGGUUUCCGGGGCGUUGGCUUUGGGAUUUGUAGCGGUGACUGCCGUUUGGUUGUUUUUCCCGCAGUUGUUGAGGAAUGGCUUAGAUGAGAAGACCAUAGGAGAGUACUGCAAGUUGAUGGAUCUUUUAAAGGGUUUGCUUCCAUUUUGAAUAUAUUUUAAUUUUAAAAAAGUCAUUGUUUUUCUUUUUUAAAUAUCUGAGGCUCAAUUUUAUCCCUUCAUUUGGAUUUAAUUGAGAAUUUAUUUCGUAGUGUAAUAAUAAAACAUUUUCAAUUGAAAUAAAAUUUUGAUUUGAUCAGUAAUACUUUAUCUUGUAUUAAUAAUAGGAGUGUUCGGGUAUUUAUAUAUAUUGUUACAGAUAUUAUUACAACUCAUGAUAGGGUCUCACUAUUUUAUCUUGACUCUGUUACCUUUGAUACUGACGUUCUCUGUCCUUAGUACUGACAUUCUCUGCGAACUCCAAGUUUGCUAGGCAUGUGUUUACGGAGCAUGCGGUCCUUUUUAUUCUUGGGACUGACAUUUUGGACGGGCUCCGUACCUGCUGGACACGUGUUUAGGUGGCCUGUGGAGCACCCGACACUUUUUGUGAGCUCCUUAGGUGUAUGCGAGCUGAGUCCGCGUGCUCGCUUUUCGAGCAAGGUUCACAGACUCGCCUUGCUAUCAACCUUAGAAUAAAUUUAGAGUUGAGAAAAUAACUUCAAUCGAUUUGAAAUCACCAAUAUUGAACAUUGGAUCAAAAUCUUUGAAGAACUCAUAUGAGUUUUUUUCUCAAAUUUGGAAAUAUUUUCUGGAGAAUUAUGAAAGAAUUUUGAGAGAAUAAAAAAUGAGAUCUAAUCUUUGAUAUGUGGACUUCAAAAAUGAAAAUGAAAAAUGAGAGAAAACAUUUAGAAAUCGAGUGAGAACCAUGUGUGAAGUGAGGAGGCUGCAGCAUUCUUGAAUUGAAGAACCCCCACUUGAUUUCAAAAAAUUGGGGAAAUUGCCAUUAGGCCAUUCCCACAAUCCCACAAUCCCACAAUCCCCUUGUUUUACUAAAUAAUCUUUCCCCUCCAAAAUUCUGAAAAUAUGGGUAAUUUGUCAUAAAACCACUCAAGUAUUUCCCUUAUUUUGCAAAAUAGUCCUAUGUAAUUAAUAUUUUAAAUUCUCUCAAUUAAACCUCAAUUUUAAUUUAUUUUUCAAUUCUAAUUUGACCCUAAAUAUUUAUUUUACCCAAAAAUUAUUUAAAACUAUAAAAUUAAUUUUUCUAAAAAUAUUUUUAUUUUCCGGAAUAUUAUUUCCCGAUUUUUAAAUAAAAUUAAGCUAACUAAAAAUUUACUAAUAAACUCGAUUAACUCUUAAUUUUCACUCGAAACCCGGUAAACUUACCUAAAACUACUAGACCUAUUUUUGGGUCACUCGUUCCUCUACUGAUAACAACAUACCCCUCAAAUGGAUUGGUUUUUUGGCCCACUUCUAAUCGGCAACUUCUUUCGACAUCUCGAUGGUGCCUUUACAACCAAAGCUUUGAUACCACUUUCCAUGGGGCUAGAACUUUUGUCUCGCGUUCCAUGCAGCAUUAAGCAAUCCUUUCGUUCCAAACAUGCCUAAGUUAGCUUAACCACCAAACAAUUAAGGAUUCAUAAAGAAUUUCUUCAAGGCACCAAUUUAUAUAGCGAAAGCAACUUAGCCAAAAGAAGAGAAAGUUACAGAAAGCUAUGCACGAGAGGUGUUUGAGUAAAUGCUCUCAAUUGUAUUACUUUCUCUCAAAGAAUACAAGAAACAAUAAAGAAUGGAAAGAAUUACAAGUGAGAGGGAGGCUCUCUAUUUAUAGUUGAGCUCCCCCAAAAUUGAAGGUCAAGAUCUAGUUAUAUUGACGGAUAAGAUUAGUUUAUCCUUAAAAUCUAGGAAUUUACAAUAUUACACAAUCAAUUUACAUAAUCAAAUCCAAUCUAAUCUUAUAAGAUAUGAUUCUCCUCAAUCUUCUAAUAUAAGUUUCCCUAUUUACCAAGGUAGUCUAUGUUGUCAUAUCUUCAUCAUUAGGUCACGCAGGCUUCAAUCUGACAAGCUACUUUAACAACUCUUUGAAUUGGGUCAGUUCUUGUGGGCCAAAUGAUCCCUUUGUCAAUGAUAGACCUCCAUGAGAUGCAUUGUGUGUGAUGGUCACGGGCUUUUUACUCAGCUUGUGACACUAAAGUUUGAUUGAAUCGGAAUCAGUAGAGAAAGAAUCACGUCGGGUCGUCACGACGUCAUGUCGGUUCUCGUCAUGACGAUUUUGGCUCCUUUUUAGUAAUUGCAGUUGCACUAGUAACCGUUGACCCUUGAAAAAUGUACAGGCUACCAUUUUUCUGUCCUCUCAUUACAAUGAGAGCUCCACGAGAGAUUGUUACCACCGUUGAAAUUCUUCUAUUAAAUUCUUUGGUGUGAAAUUUUAAACUUUGUUAAACUAUUCACUUGAUAGUCAUAUAAGAACAAAAGUAUUGUUGAAAACAUUUAUUAUGAUUUUUUUUCCUAAAAAACACUUAUUCAAAAUUUCCACGAUAAAAUAAUUUUUUUUGUUCGAAUAGUAUUCUUGAGAAAAAUUGGCAUCAGCAUUUUGAUUGAAAUAGACUAACUAAUGACAUUAUAAAAGUAGAUGAACCAAAUCAUGUCAAAAGCUAAAGUAUAUUCUCAAGUUUUAGCAUAGUCUAGAAGCUAAAAUUGAAAUUUAACCAUUGUGGUAUAAUGUAAAAAGAAAAAGAAAAAAGAGACGCAAAUCUAAAAGAAUUAGAAAUUUGGGUGCCAGUCUCUAGGACUCAUAUUGUAUUCAAAUUAUAUAGAACCACAUAAUAUUUUAUAAGAGUUAACUAUAUCAACUAUUUAGACUAAUUAAAAAUAUUAUAUUAUAUUAAAAAUUAAAAUACAUAGAUUAAAUUUAAAAAGUAAACAAAACUUGUUAUUUAAUUUUUUUAAAUGAAAAAAAAAAGCAGUCGACCUACCACUUGACAAACCACUUCAAAAUAGAUGGGGAAAGUUCAUGUUUGUUAACUUUACCAAAAGUGACAUACACGUGGAUUGCCACGUUAACAUUUAAUUACUUUUUUAAAAAAUUAAAAAUAUUUCUAAUAUAAUUUUUUUGUAAUUUUAAAAUAUUUUUUUGAAUUUUUAAAAAUUAAAAAAUUAAUUAAUUACCAAUAUGACAUCACGUGGCAAUUUAUAUAUAUGUCAAGUUAACAAAAGUUAACGAACAUUAAUUUUUCCAUUUAUGUUAGAGUGAACGAACAUUAACUUUUCCAUUUAUGUUAGAGUGAUUUGACAAAUAAUAUAAAUUUAAUAAAAAUUUAGUUCUAAAUUCAUUAUGAUGAGUACAUACCCUGGCCUACAACAUUCAAUUAAGUGCACAUUAUUUGUUCGAAAAAUUAAAUACACAUUAAAUUUUGUACCUAUCAAUUAUAUUAUGUAUAAAUUAUAAAAUUAAUUUAUAUUUUAAAAAAAAUUGAAAUUACUACUGUAAUCAAACAAAUUAUCAUAUUUGUAAUGUCAUGUUAAUUUGUUAAUUUGUUAUUUAAAAAUUUAAUAUUUCUAUAAGGUUAUUUUAUUAAAUUUAGGUUCAUUAUAACGUUAUUUUUUUAGUUAAAUUGCUAUCAAGUGAGUUUUUUUAUUUAUUUCAAAUUCAAUAGUAUUAACAAUUGAACUUGAAUUUAGAAACUUAAAAAAUAUAAUGAUUGAAUCCCUCUAAAUAAAAUUUAUGGACUAAAUUGCAAAGUUUGAACAUAUUUUAACGUGAUGGUUCUCGAUCUAAGUAAAGUCUAACUACAUUUCUUAUAAAUAUUAAAUGUUAAACUUCAUCUUUAUCAAAGAUCCAAAGAUCAACGAAUGGAGAACGAACAUUACAAUUUCAUCAAGGUAUGGAUUUUAGCUAUAAUUUCCCUUUGUUAUUGUUACUACAUAUCAUCAAAGCUCCCCAAAGGCAUUUUCAAGCUUUUUCCUUUAACCCCAAUCUUCAUCUUCUUCCUUUACCUCCCUCUCACCAUCUCCUCCGUUCAUCUCGUUGGCAUCACCGCCUUCUUCCUCUCUUGGUUAGCUAAUUUCAAGCUCCUCCUCUUUUGUUUCGAC
rnacentral:lncRNA from 1 species